rnacentral:rRNA from 1 species
GAUGAACGCUAGCGGGAGGCCUAACACAUGCAAGCCGAGCGGUAUUGUUUCUUCGGAAAUGAGAGAGCGGCGUACGGGUGCGGAACACGUGUGCAACCUGCCUUUAUCUGGGGGAUAGCCUUUCGAAAGGAAGAUUAAUACUCCAUAAUAUAUUGAACGGCAUCGUUUAAUAUUGAAAGCUCCGGCGGAUAGAGAUGGGCACGCGCAAGAUUAGCUAGUUGGCGAGGUAACGGCUCACCAAGGCGAUGAUCUUUAGGGGGCCUGAGAGGGUGAUCCCCCACACUGUACUGAGACACGGACCAGACUCCUACGGGAGGCAGCAGUGAGGAAUAUUGGUCAAUGGGUGCAAGCCUGAACCAGCCAUCCCGCGUGAAGGGCGACUGCCCUAUGGGUUGUAAACUUCUUUUGUAUAGGGAUAAACCUACCCUCGUGAGGGUAGCUGAAGGUACUAUACGAAUAAGCACCGGCUAACUACGUGCCAGCCGCCGCAGUAACAC